GUCCACGCCCUAAACGAUGUGCAUUAGGUAUUGGCAGUAUCGACCCUGUCAGUGCCGUUUAAAAAGCUAACGCGUUAAAUGCACCGCCUGGGGAGUACGGCCGCAAGGCUAAAACUCAAAGAAAUAGACGGGGACCCGCACAAGCGGUGGAGCAUGUGGUUUAAUUCGAUGGUAAACGGGGAACCUUACCUGGGCUCAACUACUAGCUGCAAGCUAUCAGAAACGAUAGCCGCCUUCGAGGGUGCUAGAUAGGUGCUGCAUGGUUGCCGU
rnacentral:rRNA from 1 species